rnacentral:tmRNA from 1 species
GGGGCUGAUUCUGGAUUCGACGGGAUUUGCGAAACCCAAGGUGCAUGCCGAGGGGCGGUUGGCCUCGUAAAAAGCCGCAAAAAAAUAGUCGCAAACGACGAAACCUACGCUUUAGCAGCUUAAUAACCUGCUUAGAGCCCUCUCUCCCUAGCCUCCGCUCUUAGGACGGGGAUCAAGAGAGGUCAAACCCAAAAGAGAUCGCGUGGAUGCCCUGCCUGGGGUUGAAGCGUUAAAACGAAUCAGGCUAGUCUGGUAGUGGCGUGUCCGUCCGCAGGUGCCAGGCGAAUGUAAAGACUGACUAAGCAUGUAGUACCGAGGAUGUAGGAAUUUCGGACGCGGGUUCAACUCCCGCCAG